AAAAUUUAAACUACAAUUUCUCUUCAGUUAAAAAAAGUUUUUUUUAUUAAAAAAACACUAAGCUAUUAGGCUCAUGACCUAAAAAUAAUAGAGAAAAUUAAUUUUCUUAUAUUAGAAAUUUUUUUGAAGAAUAAAAUAAUGUUGGAUUCAAAAAAAAAUUUUUGGACAAUAAAAACACACACAAUUUAUGAUGUUUUAUUUUAAAAAAAAAAGAAAUCUAACAAUGUGCCAGCAGUUGCGGUGAAACUAUUUUUCUUUUUCAAGAAAAAACAUAAUUAAAAAUAUAAGUAAAGCAAAAAAAUUAUUUAAAUUUAAAUUUAAAAAAUAUUAGAGAAAUAAUAAUAUAACAGGAGAAUAAAUUUCAUUAGAUAAGAAAUUAAUCCAAAAACAAAACGUAUAUUUAUUUUAAUAAAAAUCUAUAUGACGGUUCUUAAAAAUUAUUCAGGGGGGCUUGUAAGAUUUAAUAACGAUAAUCCUCGAAAAAAAAAAAAAUUUUUGAAAUAACUAUAUUAAUUGUGAAUAAGAUUUUAAUAAUUUACUUAUUUAAUAAGAAAGAUAAGAUAGUUCUUAAACCACAAAUCAAUAUGGUGUUUAUUUAAUUUUUUCUUAGGAGUCACUUUAAUUUCAAAUUAAAACCAAGUAUUUGAAAGUAUUUUUAAAAAAAAAGAAUUAAAAUUUCUUUGAGUGUACAUACUGCCCAACAAUUCUUCUUUUAAAAAGAAUAAGUUGUCACAAGGUUGUAAAACGGGAAUGUUUUAUAAAAA
rnacentral:rRNA from 1 species